rnacentral:rRNA from 1 species
UACGGGGGGGGCAAGCGUUGUUCGGAAUUACUGGGUGUAAAGGGCGCGUAGGCGGCCUGCUAAGUCGGAUGUGAAAUCCCUCGGCUCAACCGAGGAACUGCAUCCGAUACUGGCGGGCUUGAAUCCGGGAGAGGGAUGUGGAAUUCCAGGUGUAGCGGUGAAAUGCGUAGAUAUCUGGAGGAACACCGGUGGCGAAGGCGGCAUCCUGGACCGGUAUUGACGCUGAGGCGCGAAAGCUAGGGGAGCAAACGGG